AUGGCCACAUCAUGUUGAAACACUGGUUCCCAUACGAUCACUGAAGUUAAGCAACAUCAAGCCUAGUUAGUACCUAGAUGGGUGACCAUUUGGGAAUACCAAAUGCUGUAA
rnacentral:rRNA from 1 species